rnacentral:rRNA from 1 species
AUUGAACGCUGGCGGCAGGCUUAACACAUGCAAGUCGAACGAGUGGCGGACGGGUGAGUAAUGCUUGGGAAUCUGCCUGAUGGAGGGGGAUAACUACGGGAAACUGUAGCUAAUACCGCGUACCAUAGGAUGAGCCCAAGUGGGAUUAGGUAUUUGGUGAGGUAAAGGCUCACCUAGCCGACGAUCUCUAGCUGGUCUGCGAGGAUGACCAGCAACACGGGGACUGAGACACGGCCCAGAGUCCUAAGGGAGGCAGCAGUGGGGAAUAUGGCACAAUGGGCGCAAGCCUGAUGCAGCCAUGCCGCGUGUAUGAAGAAGGCCUUCGGGUUGUAAAGUACUUUCAGUGGGGAGGCGUUACCGACAGAAGAAGCACAGGAUAACUCCGUGCCAGCAGCCGCGGUAAUAC